rnacentral:rRNA from 1 species
UUGAACGCUGGCGGCAUGCCUUACACAUGCAAGUCGAACGGCAGCACGGGAGCAAUCCUGGUGGCGAGUGGCGAACGGGUGAGUAAUAUAUCGGAACGUGCCCAGUCGUGGGGGAUAACGUAGAGAAAUUUACGCUAAUACCGCAUACGAUCUAAGGAUGAAAGCGGGGGACCGUAAGGCCUCGCGCGAUUGGAGCGGCUGAUAUCAGAUUAGGUUGUUGGUGAGGUAAAAGCUCACCAAGCCGACGAUCUGUAGCUGGUUUGAGAGAACGACCAGCCACACUGGGAGUGAGACACGGCCCAGACUCCUACGGGAGGCAGCAGUGGGGAAUUUUAGACAAUGGGCGA